GCCGCCCGCUCACAGCCCCUCCUCCAUCCGCCCAGCAGUCCCUCCACCGGGAGAGCCCCCCAGCUGGAGUGGCCAAGGCUGCCUGUCUCUCCUCCCCUACCAGUGGGAGAUCAGACCCCUCCACACCCAGCGCCAAGGCAAGCCCCUCAUAGAGACCAACGCAGGGCGGAGACAAUGAGGGUUGGGGAAACCACCCACCCCAGAGCAGAACAAGCUGAUUCGGAUUCCAGGCUGGACCCCGGAUUCUCUGAGCCCCGGAGUCCAAGCGCCCAAGAACCAAGGUGGAACGCCUGGCGCAGGUAGGUGCCCACUGCCAGCUGCGAGCCUCUUUCCUGACGUCUGGCUUCCUUCCCUGCGGAAGCUGCCCACCGGAACACGGCUCACCCUUAGCCUGUUGUCUGACCAGCAAGUCCUGAGGACAGCAGCCUGUCGGGAGAAGCAAGACCUCAAAGGGGAACCACUUAGCUCGGUCCGCGGCGCCCCCUCGUGGUCAGACGGCGGAAUGACAAGCGUCUCCCAAGCCCUAUCAUAAUCACGGGACGAGGAUUAGCACCGUCUGGGUCCUCCGCACCCCCGAAACCGGCCCCCAGCUUCACCGGAGACCUGCUGAAUCAGACGCUCUCCGGUGGGCCCAGGAAUCUUCAUUUUUACAUUUACCUCUGGUGAUUCCGAUGCCUGCUGGAGCCUGCAAAUAGCUGCUUAAUAGCCCAAAUUGUAGAGCAAGGGAUUUCCACAUCAAGGACUAAAAUAAGGGGGUAUUUAGACAGGGUUUCUCCAGGAGGGGUUGUGGGAGAGAAACUGAGCCAGCC
rnacentral:lncRNA from 1 species